UACGUAGGGUGCGAGCGUUAAUCGGAAUUACUGGGCGUAAAGUGUGCGCAGGCGGCUGAGCAAGUCGAGUGUGAAAGCCCCGGGCUUAACUUGGGAAUUGCGCUCGAAACUACUUGGCUGGAGUGUGGCAGAGGAAGGUGGAAUUCCACGUGUAGCGGUGAAAUGCGUAGAGAUGAGGAGGAACACCAAUGGCGAAGGCAGCCUUCUGGGCCAACACUGACACUCAGGUGCGACAGCGUGGGGAGCAAACAGG
rnacentral:rRNA from 1 species